rnacentral:tRNA from 1 species
UGGGGUGGGGCUCAGUGGUAGAGCACUUGCUUCGCAUGUACAAGACCCUGGGUUCUAUCCUCAGCACCACAU